CUUUCUCUAACAUGUCUGCUUUCCUGAGGAUCUUCAUUGCGUAAAUAUGACCUGUGUCCUUUUUCUGAACCAGGCGCACCUGAAUACAGCACAUAAUGAAGAUUUCUGAAGAACCGGAUGAGGUUUUCAAUGAAAUCUCUAGCAAUAUCACACACAGUGAUGGCGACAGCACUUACAUGCAUGGAAUAAGGUCUUGGCUGUGACACAUCGAAAUGAAGGAGAGUCACAGAAUUAAAGAUGAAGAAGGAAGACACAGGAACACCCAUACAAACAGGUAACAUGAUGUCAGCGCAGCCCCUACCGACACCUUAAAGACUCACCACCAAAAUAUGACACUGUCCUCAACGUGAGCAGCACACACGGGAUCAUCAAUGUAAGCACCCACAUACACACUUCAUAACAUACAGAGCUUCUGAUAAGGAGAGAAAUGGCAUGGUAAGGAUUUAAUGGAGCUGUAGUGCUUUUUCUUGUCAAUGUCUGGCAUGUGAAAGCAUGUGGGCGGCACUGAGGUCCUUCUGAAGUACACGGUGUGUUGCAACAGCCCACAACACACAGGAGGUAAUGCUUCUGAUGUCGCAGAAUGCUUUUCC